rnacentral:rRNA from 1 species
UACCCCACUAUGCCUAGCCAUAAACUUUGAUUAUCCGCCAGAGUACUACGAGCCACAGCUUAAAACUCAAAGGACUUGGCGGUGCUUUAUACCCCCCUAGAGGAGCCUGUUCUAUAAUCGAUAAUCCCCGAUAAACCUCACCACCUAUUGCCAAUACAGCCUAUAUACCACCGUCCAGCCCGCCCUUUAAAGGAAAAACAGCAGGCAUAAUAAUCAACAUUAAAACGUCAGGUCAAGGUGUAGCAGAUAAGAUGGAAAGAAAUGGGCUACAUUUUCUAAUUUAGAAGACACGGAAGACUCUAUGAAACAGUCUCUGAAGGAGGAUUUAGCAGUAAAAAGAAACAAGAGUGUUCUUUUUAAGCCGGCAAUAAAGCGCGCACACACCGCC